rnacentral:rRNA from 1 species
AUUAGAGUUUGAUUAUGGCUCAGAACUAACGCUGGCGGCGUGCCUAACACAUGCAAGUCGUACGAGAAAGUUGGCUUCGGCUGAUGAGUAAAGUGGCGCACGGGUGAGUAACGCGUGGAUAAUCUGCCUUUUAGUUGGGAAUAACGUACCGAAAGGUGCGCUAAUACCGGAUAAUACUGAGCAACUACUGUUGCUUAGUCAAAGAAGGCCUCUGUUUACAAGCUUUUGCUGAAAGAUGAGUCCGCGUACCAUUAGCUAGUUGGUAGGGUAAUGGCCUACCAAGGCUACGAUGGUUAGCUGGUCUGAGAGGAUGAUCAGCCACACUGGAACUGAGACACGGUCCAGACUCCUACGGGAGGCAGCAGUGAGGAAUAUUGCGCAAUGGGGGCAACCCUGACGCAGCAACGCCGCGUGAGUGAGGAAGGUUUUCGGACCGUAAAGCUCUGUCGAGUGGGAAGAAAUGUAUCGUGGCUAAUAUCCAUGAUACUUGACGGUACCGCUAAAGGAAGCACCGGCUAACUCCGUGCCAGCAGCCGCGGUAAUACGGGGGGUGCGAGCGUUGUUCGGAAUUAUUGGGCGUAAGGAGCGUGUAGGCGGCUGAAUAAGUCAGAUGUGAAAUCCCUGGGCUUAACCCAGGAAGUGCAUUUGAAACUAUUCAGCUUGAGUAGGGGAGAGGAAAGUGGAAUUCCUGGUGUAGAGGUGAAAUUCGUAGAUAUCAGGAGGAACACCGGUGGCGAAGGCGACUUUCUGGCCCCUAUACUGACGCUGAGACGCGAGAGCCGUGGGGUAGCAAACAGGGAUUAGAUACCCCUGGGUAGUCCACGCUGUAAACGAUUGUUUCACUAGGUUGUUGGGGGGUUAUUGACCCCUUCUCAAGUGCCCGGCAACCUUAACGCCAUUUAAAGUGAAUCCGCCUGGGGGAGUACGGGUCGCAAGAUUAAAAACUCAAAGGAAUUGACGGGGGCCCGCACAAGCGGUGGAGCAUGUGGUUUAAUUUCGAUGCAACGCGAAGAACCUUACCUAGGCUUGACAUCCCAGGAAUUCUGUGGAAACACAGAAGUGCCUUUCGGGGAACCUGGAGACAGGUGCUGCAUGGCUGUCGUCAGCUCGUGUCGUGAGAUGUUGGGUUAAGUCCCGCAACGAGCGCAACCCUUAUGUUUAAUGGCCAGCAUUCAGUUGGGCACUUUAAAGAGACUGCCGGUGUUAAACAAAAAGAAGGUGGGGAUGACGUCAAGUCCUCAUGGCCUUUAUGCUUAGGGCUACACACGUGCUACAAUGGGUGGUACAAAGAGAAGCCAACUCGCGAGGGCGCGCCAAUCUCAAAAAGCCAUCCUCAGUUCGGAUUGGAGUCUGCAACUCGACUCCAUGAAGUUGGAAUCGCUAGUAAUCGCGGAUCAGCAUGCCGCGGUGAAUACGUUCCCGGGCCUUGUACACCUCUUUGGAAAACACCCGGAAAAUUGAUUGCACCAGAAGUCGUUGGGCUAACUUCUAUUUAUAGAGGAGGCAGGCGCCGACGUAUGUUAGUAAUUUGGGUGAAGUCGUAACAAGGUAGCCGUUUUGUACCUGUGGCUGGAUCACCUCCUUUAUGAAU